UGGGGAAUUUUGGACAAUGGGGGAAACCCUGAUCCAGCCAUCCCGCGUGUGCGAUGAAGGCCUUCGGGUUGUAAAGCACUUUUGGCAGGAAAGAAACGUCAUGGGUUAAUACCCCGUGAAACUGACGGUACCUGCAGAAUAAGCACCGGCUAACUACGUGCCAGCAGCCGCGGUAAUACGUAGGGUGCAAGCGUUAAUCGGAAUUACUGGGCGUAAAGCGUGCGCAGGCGGUUCGGAAAGAAAGAUGUGAAAUCCCAGAGCUCAACUUUGGAACUGCAUUUUUAACUACCGGGCUAGAGUGUGUCAGAGGGAGGUGGAAUUCCGCGUGUAGCAGUGAAAUGCGUAGUUAUGCGGAGGAACACCGAUGGCGAAGGCAGCCUCCUGGGAUAACACUGACGCUCAUGAACGAAAGCGUGGGGAGCAAACAGG
rnacentral:rRNA from 1 species